CAAUAGCGUAUAUUAAAGUUGUUGCAGUUAAAAAGCUCGUAGUUGGAUUUGUGGUGCGUGUCCUGGCGUCCGAAUUUUCGGUUCUGCUAGGGCCGUGCCAUCCUUGGGUGGAAUCUGUGUGGCAUUAGGUUGUCGUGCAGGGGAUGCCCAUCAUUUACUGUGAAAAAAUUAGAGUGUUCAAAGCAAGCCUACGCUCUGAAUAUAAUAGCAUGGGAUAACACGACAGGACUCUGGCCUAUCGUGUUGGUCUAUAGGACCAGAGUAAUGAUUAAGAGGGACAGUCGGGGGCAUUCGUAUUCCGUUGUCAGAGGUGAAAUUCUUGGAUUUACGGAAGACGAACAUCUGCGAAAGCAUUUGCCAAGGAUGUUUUCAUUGA
rnacentral:rRNA from 1 species